rnacentral:rRNA from 1 species
CACAAUGGGGGAAACCCUGAUGCAGCGAUGCCGCGUGAGUGAAGAAGGCCCUUGGGUUGUAAAACUCUUUCGUCGGGGAAGAAAAUGACUGUACCCGAAUAAGAAGGUCCGGCUAACUUCGUGCCAGCAGCCGCGGUAAUACGAAGGGACCUAGCGUAGUUCGGAAUUACUGGGCUUAAAGAGCUCGUAGGUGGUUAAAAAAGUUGAUGGUGAAAUCUCAAGGCUCAACCUUGGAACUGCCAUCAAAACUUUUUAGCUAGAGUGUGAUAGAGGUAAGUGGAAUUUCUAGUGUAGGGGUGAAAUUCGUAGAUAUUAGAAAGAACACCAAAUGCGAAGGCAACUUACUGGGUCACUACUGACACUGAGGAGCGAAAGCAUGGGUAGCGAAGAGGAUUAGAUACCCUCGUAGUCCAUGCCGU